AAUGAACGCUGGCGGCAUGCCUAACACAUGCAAGUCGAACGAGACCUCCGGGUCUAGUGGCGCACGGGGGCGUAACCCGUGGGAUAAUGCCCUUGGGUUCGGAAUAACUCCCUGAAAGGGGUGCUAAUACCGGAUAAUGUCUUCGGACCAAAGAUUUAUCGCCUUUGGAGGGGCGCGAGUUGGAUUAGCUAGUUGGUAGGGUAAAAGCCUACCAAGGCGAGGAUGCAUAGCUGGUCUGAGAAGCUGAUCCGCCACGCCUGGGCUAAGACACGGACCAGACUCGUACGCAGGAGAGGAGAGUAGAAUAUUAGACAAGGGAGGCAGAUGUGAUCCCGCCAUGCGGGGGAAGUGGUGAAUGGCGUAGGGAUGUAAUGCUCUUUUAGCCGAGGUGAUAAUGACGGUACCGGGAGAAUAAGCACCGGCUAACUACGUG
rnacentral:rRNA from 1 species